GACGAACGCUGGCGGCGUGCUUAACACAUGCAAGUCGAACGGUAAGGCCCUUCGGGGUACACGAGUGGCGAACGGGUGAGUAACACGUGGGUGAUCUGCCCUGCACUUCGGGAUAAGCCUGGGAAACUGGGUCUAAUACCGGAUAGGACCCUGGGAUGCAUGUCCUGGGGUGGAAAGCUUUUGCGGUGUGGGAGGGGCCCGCGGCCUAUCAGCUUGUUGGUGGGGUGAUGGCCUACCAAGGCGACGACGGGUAGCCGGCCUGAGAGGGUGACCGGCCACACUGGGACUGAGAUACGGCCCAGACUCCUACGGGAGGCAGCAGUGGGGAAUAUUGCAUAAUGGGCGCAAGCCUGAUGCAGCGACGCCGCGUGAGGGAUGACGGCCUUCGGGUUGUAACCUCUUUCAGUAGGGAAGAAGCCGCAAGGUGACGGUACCUGCAGAAGAAGCGCCGGCUAACUACGUGCCAGCAGCCGCAGUAA
rnacentral:rRNA from 1 species